UGGCGGAGAUCUGUAGAGAAGCUCCGGUAUCGUGGUGUGGAAGGUGUGAAGCUUGGUGAGCAAAGGAGGAUCAGGUAUGUAGAGUGUUAGAUUGUUAAAAGGAAAUGUUCAUGGGAGAUGGGAAGAGAACGAAAGAGGGUGAGUGAAGGGAAGAUUGAACGAGUUCAAUCGGAAUGUGUCCGAUCUGGACGAACUCGUCCAUCGACAACCUUGCCUUCAAAUAAACAGGGAUCCUACGUUUUGGAUUUCCUGAGCUACUGUUAGGAAGAUAGGAAAUAAUUAUAUUAUAAUCAGAUGCUAUCUUAUAGAUUUUUAAAUUAUAUUAUGCUGAUUCACCAUGAUAGAUGUAUAUUAAAUUGAUUCUUCCCUAUUAUUUAUGAUGAUAAAUAUGGUGAUUCUUAUGGUCAGUAAGGAUAACCGUAGUGAUGCUAAAUCGAAUUGAUUUAUGGUCAGUAAUAUUAAAUCAUCAGAUUCUUAUGUUAGAUCUGAUGAUUCUUAUGUUUAUGAUGUUCUAAUGAUUAUUUAAUUAAUUCUUAUGUUAAAUUUAAUGAUUCUUAUUGUUUAUCAUGUUAGAUCUAAUGAUUAUAUUUAAUUGAUUCUUGUGUUAAAUCUAAUUAUUCUUAGUGCUGAUGAUAUAUAUCAAUUUUACUGAUCUUGGAGUAUUGCCUUAUGAGUUGUUAAAAUUAGUGAUAUUUGAUUGCAUGAUAACCUAUGAUGACUGAAACUGAUUGCAUUAAUUUGUUAAUAGUUUGAAUAUACUAAUAGUUUGAAACAGUAAUGUAAAAAUACUAAUGAUUUGAAAGAUUUAAGAUAUGUGAUUGCUAUAUGAUGCUAAUCCGAAUUAGUGCUAUGACUGAAACUGCUUUACUUAACUGAAUGUAUUGCUGAUUUAAAAAUGAUAAUAUGAUUAGGGGAGGGAUUACAUGAAUGUGGGGAACAAGGGUAGAAAUGCAUGUGUAAACGAGUUAAGGAAUGAAUGAACGAACGAAGGAAUAAAUGAAUGAAGAAAUGAAUGAAUGCAUGAGUGACAUAUGACUGAGGUGUUUUGACGCCUAACCGAAGGUGAAUGAUGAAUGACGAAUGAUGACCUAUAUGGGUCUUAUGAAUGAUGAUUGAUUGAUGAACUAGAUUAAGGAUUACUUGCUUGCUUAUUAUGUGAAUCCUUACUAUUUGUAGAGUUAAAUAACUUGAUAUUUGAGACAUGUUACUGAGUGACGAAUACAUACAAUGUUGCAGAGAAUGGAGGUAGUCUUGCCUAACUGGAAUGGUAGGAAAUAAAUGACUUGUCGAGGCGACGAGGCUCGCUUGCGUAGAACAUACACUCUUAUAGUCAUUGUUAUCCAUUUUGGGGUUGUAAUAAACACUAUCUUAGAUUUCUUAAAGACCGAACAAUUUGGAAUAUUUGUUAUAUUCAAAUUCUGUUAGGAAAAUAUGGUAUUAUAAGUCCUUUGAGUA
rnacentral:lncRNA from 1 species